UACGUAGGUGGCGAGCGUUGUCCGGAUUUACUGGGCGUAAAGAGCGCGCAGGCGGUCGUUCAAGUCGCGUGUGAAAGCCCCCGGCUCAACUGGGGAGGGUCACGCGAUACUGAUCGACUCGAAGGCAGGAGAGGGUAGUGGAAUUCCUGGUGUAGCGGUGAAAUGCGCAGAUAUCAGGAGGAACACCGGUGGCGAAGGCGGGUCUCUGGGCCGAUACUGACGCUGAGGAGCGAAAGCGUGGGGAGCGAACAGG
rnacentral:rRNA from 1 species